GUGCACAUUUCAUUCUUCUCUUUUCUUCACAUCAAGAGAAAAGAUAUCUUUGGUGUGCUAAACCAACCUCUGUAGAUAAUCAGCAGUGUAACCAGUUUAGCCACUGCCGCCAGUCACAUUCAGACAAGC
rnacentral:snoRNA from 1 species